UUUUUUUUUAACAAGGAUCAGACGACAGUAAAACGUUUUUACUAUUGUCUGAUAACUUUUAACGAAUUCUGUCUCAACAAUGGUUGGCAAAUAUGUAAACAAAAUUUUCGUUUAAGACGACAGUGGUCUGUGGUCUCAACAAUGCACUAAAUAUUUUUAUAUCUGUAUACGAACUAUAAUUUUUAGAACAACUUCAGGCUUUUUUUUGGACACCAAUGAAAAUCUGGCUUGUGAACGGACUAAAGACAAUGUCAGGAGCAAUGAUAUUGCUCCUUGGUACACCACUAGAACCUCACUUGUGGAACAUGUAAAAUACUCGUACCCUUUCAACAUUAUCAUCAGUUAAAAGCUUUGCAUGUGUGAAAUAGUAUAAUCUAGUGGAGAUUAAUGUCUAUUUUUUGGAGUUUACUUAGGAUAGGCACCUGAGCAGUUUAUUCCAUAUGCAUAAAUGUACAUAGUCAGAUAGAUACAAUGAUGGAUUCUUCCAUCAAGACCACAUAGUUAUGCUUUUGUUUCUUUUUGGUGCAGAACUCAGCAUGCUGUUGACUUCAAAAAGGGGGGUGCCAAUGUUCACCAGUUGAAGGGUAGCGGCUCGAGAUACUUGGCUAGCUUUCUGUGAAUACCACCAGUGGAAGACCACUACGGUUUGUCCAAGGCUGAGUGAAGCUAGUAGGUUUUAUUGCUUUAAUAGCUUGAUUCUUUUUCAUAAAUCCUUGGUAUUUUAUAUUUUUUAAAUGACAUAAAUGGAAUGCGUUGAAACCCUUGGGGAAAUCUUAUAAUGCCGGUUUAGCCCUAUCUGUCACACAUCAUUCCUUGUUUAUUUGUAGUUUGUGGAAGCAUAGUGAUGUCUUUGCUUGUUGUUUUACUUUCUAUACGACUGUUUCCUCCAAAUAUAUUUUCAUUCCCUGCAAAGCUAUAAUUGCACGCGUAGAUUGGAAUUUGAACUUCUUGGGAUUGGUUAUUAUUAGAGCUUAACCUGCUUGAGGUAUCCAAUAAAAGGAACAAAUAGAAGAUUCUGUUGUAAUCGCAUCUGUGCCACUUCUGCUUUUCAUAGCUUGCCUGUUUUAUUGUACAUGUUUGUCAUGGUGUUGAGUUUCAUGUAUGUUAAUUCCCUGGAGACCUGAAAGAGCUCUUGCAUUCAAGGAUGAUGAUAUACCUACUGAGAAUCUAGAGAAAAGAUCUGAAGUAAUACCUUGAAUGGAAAUGGUAUCUCAUGACAGGAAGGUGGAAUAUGCUAAAACCCCAUUGCAAUAUGAAAGUGCCGAUAACUGCCUCGUUUCAACCCCUGUUGUCAGUACAACUGUAUGAUACCUUUUUCUGAGUUGACUAUAAUUAUGGCUUAUUUAUUUUCACAGCUGUGGUGUUUACACUUGUACUCUUUAAACCAAAUAAAAACUGUUAUAAUUCUUUAUUACAGUUGCACUUGGCACUUUUUUUGAACAUUGUUGUAAAUAAUGUCUUCAGGUCCCUGAUGAAGAUGUAGCUUCACCUGUUGAGCUGGCAAAAGCUUACAUGGACAAUAGGUCUUCAAAAGUAUCCCCAUCAUUGCUGGGUCUGCGUAGUCGAGCAGUCUAUGAAGAUUUCACAUAUUUCAAACAGUGUGGCAUUUCCUUCCAAAUCAUCGCAAAUGUCAGUCAUUCCUCGAUUUUCUAGCCAUGGGGCGGCACCAGAGAAUGGUUUUGCAACCCCUAGAUCUCGAGGCAGAUCUGCAAUAUACAAUAUGGACAGAUUGGUGACAAGGGUGCAUUAAAGAUGAGUAUUGUUAGAACUCUGUUUUUUUAUUUGAUUUAAGUUCCAAUUUUGCUUUUAUAAAGUAUGCGUUAGUCUAAUAAAGACUUCAAUUAGAUAUAAGUACUGAUGUGAGCUCAAUUAAGAACAGAUACAGGACUAAUCUGAUGUGUAUUGCUUAUAAUUUGAGUGUUUGCUUUGGGAAGGUUGUGAAUAUAGAGAGCUGGUAUUAAUUGGAUUAAUGGGACUGCCUAGAUAUGAAAACUGAUGUUUGGAAAGUGAGUUUUAGGUUUGAUAGCUUGAUUUUUAUGGAUAGCUUGAUUUUAUCCCAACUCGGAAAUUUUUUAUGGAAAGUUUAUAUUUGUGUUUUGUUACGAUGGUACU
rnacentral:lncRNA from 1 species